AAAAAUAAUAGAUCUUGCGACUUUUAUACUGGCCUUACAUCUGUCAAUGUGUUUCAUCAGUUAGUGCAGUUUCACCAUUAAUCAAAAGAGAUAAAGUGAUAUUAAAAAAACAUUUACUUCUGUUUUUUGAAAUUUAAAAAAAUCCUUAACUACCUGGACCAAAACAAAUGUAAUGCUGCAAAGAUGAAUUUUUAAUGAUGCUAAUACUUGAAUUAUUGACAGCUGAUUUUGCUGACAGGUGAAUCAAUUGCAAUUGAUGGAAUAUCUUUAAAAUGCUGAGAAUAUUUUCCAACAAUUAUGUCACCUCCAUGAAUAUAAAGGGGAAAGGUGGAAAUAUGCUUUAAGAGCACUAAUUUAUACGGUGAAGUGAAAGGUAUACCUGUAUAAGAUAUGUAAAACUUUUUUAUUCUCAUUUUUUAUAUAUUUAAAAAUUUCUCCUUGUAUUUUUUUUUUCUAAUUCUUUUUUAUUAACAGCUUCUUCUAUUAAAUACGAUGGAGCGACUGAAACUUUAAUU